AUACUGUACAUGCGAGUCGAGCGGACAGAUGGGAGCUAUGCUCCCUGAUGUUAGCGGCGGACGGGUGAGUAACACGUGGGUAACCUGCCUGUAAGACUGGGAUAACUCCGGGAAACCGGGGCUAAUACCGGAUGCUUGUUUGAACCGCAUGGUUCAAACAUAAAAGGUGGCUUCGGCUACCACUUACAGAUGGACCCGCGGCGCAUUAGCUAGUUGGUGAGGUAAUGGCUCACCAAGGCAACGAUGCGUAGCCGACCUGAGAGGGUGAUCGGCCACACUGGGACUGAGACACGGCCCAGACUCCUACGGGAGGCAGCAGUAGGGAAUCUUCCGCAAUGGACGAAAGUCUGACGGAGCAACGCCGCGUGAGUGAUGAAGGUUUUCGGAUCGUAAAGCUCUGUUGUUAGGGAAGAACAAGUACCGUUCGAAUAGGGCGGUACCUUGACGGUACCUAACCAGAAAGCCACGGCUAACUACGUGCCAGCAGCCGCGGUAAUACGUAGGUGGCAAGCGUUGUCCGGAAUUAUUGGGCGUAAAGGGCUCGCAGGCGGUUCCUUAAGUCUGAUGUGAAAGCCCCCGGCUCAACCGGGGAGGGUCAUUGGAAACUGGGGAACUUGAGUGCAGAAGAGGAGAGUGGAAUUCCACGUGUAGCGGUGAAAUGCGUAGAGAUGUGGAGGAACACCAGUGGCGAAGGCGACUCUCUGGUCUGUAACUGACGCUGAGGAGCGAAAGCGUGGGGAGCGAACAGGAUUACAUACCCUGGGUAGUCCACCCCCGUAAACG
rnacentral:rRNA from 1 species